rnacentral:lncRNA from 1 species
AGUCUUUAAUUUCUUUCUUUAUUCCUUCCUUGACCAAGGUAUCAUUGAGAAGAGUGUUAUUCAGUUUUCACGUGAAUGUUGGCUUUCCAUUAUUUAUGUUGUUAUUGAAGAUCAGUCUUAGGCCAUGGUGGUCUGAUAGGAUACAUGGGACAAUUUCAAUAUUUUUGUAUCUAUUGAGGCCUGUUUUGUGACCAAUUAUAUGGUCAAUUUUGGAGAAGGUCCCGUGAGGUGCUGAGAAGAAGGUAUAUCCUUUUGUUUUAGGAUAAAAUGUUCUGUAGAUAUCUGUCAGGUCCAUUUGUUUCAUAACUUCUGUUAGUUUCACUGUGUCCCUGUUUAGUUUCUGUUUCCACGAUCUGUCCUUUGAAGAAAGUGGUGUGUUGAAGUCUCCCACUAUUAUUGUGUGAGGUGCAAUGUAUGCUUUGAGCUUUACUAAAGUGUCUCUAAUGAAUGUGGCUGCCCUUGCAUUUGGUGCGUAGAUAUUCAGAAUUGAGAGUUCCUCUUGGAGGAUUUUACCUUUGAUGAGUAUGAAGUGUCCCUCCUUGUCUUUUUUGAUAACUUUGGGUUGGAAGUCGAUUUUAUCCGAUAUUAAAAUGGCUACUCCAGCUUGUUUCUUCAGUCCAUUUGCUUGGAAAAUUGUUUUCCAGCCUUUCACUCUGAGGUAGUGUCUGUCUUUUUCCCUGAGAUGGGUUUCCUGUAAGCAGCAGAAUGUUGGGUCCUGUUUGUGUAGCCAGUCUGUUAGUCUAUGUCUUUUUAUUGGGGAAUUGAGUCCAUUGAUAUUAAGAGAUAUUAAGGAAAAGUAAUUGUUGCUCCCUUUUAUUUUUGUUGUUAGAGUUGGCAUUCUGUUCUUGUGGCUGUCUUCUCUUUGGUUUGUUGAAUGAUUACUUUCUUGGUUGUUCUAGGGCGUGAUUUCCGUCCUUGUAUUGCUUCUUUUCUGUUAUUAUCCUUUGAAGGGCUGGAUUCGUGGAAAGAUAUUGUGUGAACUUGGUUUUGUCGUGGAAUACUUUGGUUUCUCCAUCUAUGGUAAUUGAGAGUUUGGCCGGGUAUAGUAGCCUGGGCUGGCAUUUGUGUUCUCUUAGUGUCUGUAUAACAUCUGUCCAGGCUCUUCUGGCUUUCAUAGUCUCUGGUGAAAAGUCUGGUGUAAUUCUGAUAGGCCUUCCUUUAUAUGUUACUUGACCUUUCUCCCUUACUGCUUUUAAUAUUCUAUCUUUAUUUAGUGCAUUUGUUGUUCUGAUUAUUAUGUGUCGGGAGGAAUUUCUUUUCUGGUCCAGUCUAUUUGGAGUUCUGUAUGCUUCUUGUAUGAUCAUGGGCAUCUCUUUUUUUAUGUUUGGGAAGUUUUCUUCUAUUAUUUUGUUGAAGAUAUUAGCUGGCCCUUUAAGUUGAAAAUCUUCAUUCUCAUCAAUUCCUAUUAUCCGUAGGUUUGGUCUUCUCAUUGUGUCCUGGAUUACCUGGAUGUUUUGAGUUAGGAUCCUUUUGCAUUUUGUAUUUUCUUUGACUGUUGUGUCGAUGUUCUCUAUGGAAUCUUCUGCACCUGAGAUUCUCUCUUCCAUUUCUUGUAUUCUGUUGCUGAUGCUCGCAUCUAUGGUUCCAGAUCUCUUUCCUAGGGUUUCUAUCUCCAGCGUUGCCUCGCUUUGGGUUUUCUUUAUUGUGUCUACUUCCCCUUUUAGUUCUAGUAUGGUUUUGUUCAUUUCCAUUACCUGUUUGGCUGUGUUUUCCUGCUUUUCUUUAAGAGCCUGUAACUCUUUAGCAGUGCUCUCCUGUAAAUCUUUAAGUGACUUAUGAAAGUCCUUCUUGAUGUCCUCUAUCAUCAUCAUGAGAAAUGUUUUUAAAUCUGGGUCUAGAUUUUCGGUUGUGUUGGGGUGCCCAGGACUAGGUGGGGUGGGAGUGCUGCGUUCUGAUGAUGGUGAGUGGUCUUGAUUUCUGUUAGUAGGAUUCUUACGUUUGCCUUUCGCCAUCUGGUAAUCUCUGAAGCUAGCUGUUUUAGUUGUCACUGUUAAGAGCUUGUUCUUCAGGUGACUCUGUUAGCCUCUAUGAGCAGACCUGGAGGGUAGCCUCUCCUUAGUUUCAGUGGGCAGAGUAUUCUCUGCAGGCAAGCUCUCUUCUUGCAAGGCAGGUACCCAGAUAUCUGGUGUUCGAACCAGACUCCUGGCAGAAGUUGUGUUCCACUCACUAGAGGUCUUAGGAUCACGUGUGGAAUCCUGUGUGGGCCCUUGCGGGUGUCAGGCGACUCAGCUGGCAAGGUAGCCGGGGCUCGAGUGGAGUGGAAGGGGUUUGUGCCCCAGAUCAAGCCCGGGUAGCCUGCUUCCCUAUGUACCGCAGUCUCAAGUUCCACGCGAUUGGAUUGGGGUAGGCGCUGUGUUCCACUCACCAGAGGUCUUAGGGUCCCGUGGGGAGUCCCGUGUGGGCCCUUGCGGGUGUUGGGCAAGACUCUGCUGUCAAGGUAGCCCGGGGCUCGAGUCUCGAGUCGAGCGGAAGGGACUUGUGCCCCAGAUCAGGCCCGGGUAGCCUGCUUCCCUAUGUACCGCAGUCUCAAGUUCCGCGCGAUUGGAUUGGGGCAGGCACUGUGGUCCACUCACCAGAGGUCUUAGGGUCCCGUGGGGAGUCCCGUGUGGGCCCUUGCGGGUGUUGGGCAAGACUCUGCUGGCAAGGUAGCCCGGGGCUCGAGUCUCAAGUCGAGCGGAAGGGACUUGUGCCCCAGAUCAGGCCCGGGUAGCCUGCUUCCCUAUGUACCGCAGUCUCAAGUUCCGCGCGAUUGGAUUGGGGCAGGCACUGUGAUCCACUCACCAGAGGUCUUAGGGUCCCGUGGGGAGUCCCGUGUGGACCCUUGCGGGUGUUGGGCAAGACUCUGCUGGCAAGGUAGCCCGGGGCUCGAGUCUCGAGUCGAGCGGAAGGGACUUGUCCUGUCGAUGCCUUUUAAGACCAGCUGUCAUUCUUCUGCUCAAAGACCCUCAGCUUCCUUUUCCUGAUACAAUAGAUCAGUCUUAGCAGUGCCUACAACGCCCACUAUUCCUUUCCCCUGCUACCUUUCUUGUAAUUAGCGCUUUAUGGGAACAUAGUGGUACUCAUUCAUUUAUAUAUUGUCUCUGUUCACCUUCACCAGAAUAGCAGAAUUGAGCAGUUGACAGGGACAGUGUUGUGCAGGGUCUCAGCUCUUUACUCUCUGUCAAGUUUGCUGAUUGCCUAUUCUAGAUAAGGCUAAUGCCAGAGAAUUCUUUUGAUUGUUGCUGAUUCUUCAGUAUGCAACUAUUAUUUCACAUCUAUUAGCUUCUAUCAGAGUACUAGGAAUGUUACUGUUUGCUUUGUUUUGAAGACAGGGCUGCACUAACCAUGUUUGCUCAUGAGUAUAAACCCCAAUCUUCAGAGGCAGAAGCAGGAGGUUAAAGGUCAUCCUUGGCCAUAUUGGGAGUUCAAGGCCAACUUGGAAUACAUGAGACCCUCUCUCAAAACAAAAAAAUAACAAUAAUAACAACCCCUCACCCAUGUAAAGGCAGGGUCUCAUUUAGCCUGUGCCGCUCUUGAACUUGUUUUACAAUCAAGGUUAGUCUUAAAACCACUGAUUCUCCUAAUGACACUUCCGAAGUGUAAGGUUCUCAGAUAUGUAGCACUACAUCUGGAUAUUUUCAAGCUGUUUGAAGGUUGGAAAAAUGUAUUAUGAGUAGGUCAUGCUCUAAUUCUGUUUACCUUCUAGUCUAGUUUGAUCAUUAGUUUCUAUUGUGGAAGUGGAUGAUACUGCUUUCAGAAAUGUAGCUUUUUUUGUAGCUCAUAACACCAUGUUACUGCUAAUCUCAGCUUGGUCUGAUCUUCACAAAACACUUAAAAGCUGGGCCACCACCUCACAGAAUGACAGAUGGAAGUUGAGAAUAUUAGAAUUCCUAUUAGUGUGUGCCACAACAGAAUGCUGAGUAAAUGUUUGCAUAACUAACUCAAUCUGGAUUGGAUUGUACGUUUUAGAAUGUUUAAUAAGCACACCCAAAAUCACAUGGCUCAGAAUUAAGUUACAUUUUAUUUAUUUAUUUACUUAUUUAUCUAAUGUUUAUGUAUAUAUUGAACUUAGUUUAAAUUACACAUAAAGAUAUGGUGAAAUUGAAUUCUGUAUGACCUACAUUGGCCUCAUUUUUUAAGGUUUGCUGCCUUAGAAAGGCUAUGGUGCGUUAGUAUAGCGGCAGCUGAAUUGCCCUGUGCAGCUCAGUGCCUGCUCACUAGGCUGUGUGGUAAUAAAGCUUUCUACAUUUACCUUGAAGUACAUGAAUGUGCCCUUUAGGUUUAUGUACCUACUAUGGUACUUUGUUCUUUUGAUCUUUGCUUGGUUGACAGAUUACUAAAAAGUCAAGUUGUUGCCUGUGGUAAACUUGUCUUUCAACCAAAAACAUCUACUUUCCUGUAGUUGUGUAAAACUAUGAAUCCUUUUCAUUUCUUAAAAAAAUACUAUUGCAUUUAUUUAUUUAUGUAUGUAUGUAUUUAUUGUGUGUCUCUGUGUGUGUGUGUGUCUGUGUAUAAGGACAGCUUGUAGGAUCUCUCAUCCCACCAUAGGAGUUCUGGGAUGAAACUCAGCCAUGGCAGCAUGUGCCCAUAUCUUCUGAGCCAUCUUGCAGUCCCCCAUAUUCAGAUAUUCCAAGCAAUGCUUCAGUGUCUCAACCAUAACAGCUUAUAUGUGUUUAUGAAACGUCAGUGCAUUUCUGAGAUUGUUGUUGCACGCUUGUCUGACCUCAGUGAGAGGAUGUGUGCUGAGGGGUGGUACUCAUGGAGGGCCUCCCCUUCUCAGGGGAGGGGGAGGGGGAGAGUAGUGAUUGGGAAGAGAGGAAGGAAGGGGCCUGGGAUCAGGAUGUAAAGUGAAUAAAUACAUUAAUUAAUGAAAAAAAUUAAGAAUGUAUGUUUUCACAUUUAAUUUAUAGUUAU